rnacentral:lncRNA from 1 species
UGUUCCAGAAUUAUAAUAAUAAAUGUAUUUGUCUUAAUUAUAUUUUUAUUAUUUUAAUUUUCAGAGUCUGAAGCAGCUGCUUUGAAGAGAUCUUUCAAAUGAAUGACUAGGCUGUGAAUUGCUAAGGAAUAGCAGUGGAAAACCAGAAAAGACAAAAUCCUCCUCCUCUGCUCCCAGAGUCUUCCCUCUGUGUCGACUUGUGCGUUCUCUGAGAUGGAUACUCUUUCAAGCUGGAAGUGGAAAUAGCAACCAGAGCGAUAAACUUUUCUUUAAGUUUCCUUCAGUUGGUUUGAGGAGGUCUGUCUGGCGUGCCUACCCACGGGCAGGGAGACACUGCUGUCCAGCCAGAGCUGAACAACCUGUGUGGAGAAUACAAAGGCUUUCUUAUGCUGGCAAAUGGGUGCUUUCUUCCCAACUCCCCCCGAGGCGAAUCGUGGAAGAUGUAGCGCAGAUAGACAUGAAAACUGCAGACCUUCUUAGCAAGUACUUCUCUUAUAGAGAAGAAAUGAAAAAUACUCCUUCCAUGGCCAGAGCCUGGGGAAGGACAAAAUAG